GCUCGAGUGGCUAACGGGUGAGUAACACGUGAGUAACCUGCCCUUGACUUUGGGAUAACUUCAGGAAACUGGGGCUAAUACCGGAUAGGAGCUCCUGCUGCAUGGUGGGGGUUGGAAAGUUUCGGCGGUUGGGGAUGGACUCGCGGCUUAUCAGCUUGUUGGUGGGGUAAUGGCCUACCAAGGCGGCGACGGGUAGCCGGCCUGAGAGGGUGGACGGCCACAUUGGGACUGAGAUACGGCCCAG
rnacentral:rRNA from 1 species